rnacentral:rRNA from 1 species
GAAUCUGGCCUCAGGUCCGGGACAACCAUUGGAAACGAUGGCUAAUACCGGAUGUGCCUAAGGGUGAAAGAUUAAUUGCCUGAGGAUGAGCUCGCGUCUGAUUAGCUAGUUGGUGGGGUAAAAGCCUACCAAGGCAACGAUCAGUAACUGGUCUGAGAGGAUGACCAGUCACACUGGGACUGAGACACGGCCCAGACUCCUACGGGAGGCAGCAGUGGGGAAUUUUCCGCAAUGGGCGAAAGCCUGACGGAGCAAUACCGCGUGAGGGAGGAAGGCUCUUGGGUUGUAAACCUCUUUUCUCAGGGAAGAACAAUGACGGUACCUGAGGAAUCAGCAUCGGCUAACUCCGUGCCAGCAGCCGCGGUAAUACGGAGGAUGCAAGCGUUAUCCGGAAUUAUUGGGCGUAAAGCGUCUGUAGGUGGACAUUCAAGUCUGCUGUCAAAGACCGGGGCUUAACCCUGGAAAGGCGGUGGAAACUGAAAGUCUAGAGUGCGGUAGGGGUAGAGGGAAUUCCCAGUGUAGCGGUGAAAUGCGUAGAGAUUGGGAAGAACACCGGUGGCGAAAGCGCUCUACUGGACUGCAACUGACACUCAGGGACGAAAGCUAGGGGAGCG